GGAGUUAGCCGGUGCUUUCUUGGAGGUACCGUCAGAUCUUCUUCCCUCCCGACAGUGCUUUACAACCCUAGGGCCUUCGUCACACACGCGGCAUAGCUGCGUCAGGCUUUCGCCCAUUGCGCAAUAUUCCCCA
rnacentral:rRNA from 1 species